UCCUAGGGAUUGCUUUGGUUAUGGAAGAUGAAGAGGGCUACAUGACCAUACAAACUUCAAAACAGUAUACCUACAUGGACGUUGUUCCCAACAAGAAGGAAGGCCCUUCAAAAUGCUGGAAAAUCACACUCGGGGUCAUACUAGGAGGAAGCAUUGCUUUGAAUGUGGGCCUAAUCAUUCUUCUGAUAGUAUUUCAGACACAAGGCGCUUUCUACCCAUCAACUUCAACCAGUUCAUGUGGAUUGAUCCCCGGUACUUUAAUAGGUAAUUCAAAAUUAUUUAUUUUGCUUUCUUUGUUUAGCUUUUUCAAGUCAGGAUUUACAAUAUUGAUAGCCAAAGCAGCUUGUACAGUUCAAGCUAACUGAUGCAGAACACAAAGAGCUGAUGCGGUUCUCUGCAAAUGUCCUUGGAAAGGCAACCACAGCAACUUACCCUGCACAGUAGUAAAAAGAAGCUGUAUUCACAUGACACAUUUGCACAUGAUUUACUCAACUAUCCUAAUUUUUUAGGUUCAUAGAACACACUAACACAAAUCCAAACAAGCAUAUUAUGGCUUAAUACAGAGCCUUUCUCAACUCUGAGAUAUCAUGACACUGAUUCCUGGGGAAAAGCGUCCAUGUAUGCCAAAUGUCCCUUAAAUCCAAAAUUGCAUCAUUUGCAUGAAUUUGCAUCAUUUGUGGCAAUUUAUAUCAUUUACAUCAAUUACAGAUGAUGUACAUUUUUUGCAAAGUGUGUAAUUGGCUCCACCGUUUUGGAAAUAUUAAACUUUUUCAGGGAUUGGGGAGUCUGUAAAAAUGUUGUCUGUAGCAUCCAGAGUCUGCUGAAUGGAAGUCUGAA